CACGUAGGGUGCGAGCGUUGUCCCGGAAUUAUUGGGCGUAAAGAGCUCGUAGGCGGCUUGUCGCGUCGGCUGUGAAAACCCGCGGCUCAACUGUGGGCGGGCAGCUGAUACGGGCAGGCUGGAGUUCGGUAGGGGAGACUGGAAUUCCUGGUGUAGCGGUGAAAUGCGCAGAUAUCAGGAGGAACACCGGUGGCGAAGGCAGGUCUCUGGGCCACUACUGACGCUGGGACGCACGAAAGCGUGGGGAGCAAACAGG
rnacentral:rRNA from 1 species